rnacentral:rRNA from 1 species
UACGGGGGGGGCAAGCGUUGUUCGGAAUUACUGGGCGUAAAGGGCUCGUAGGCUGCCAACUAAGUCAGACGUGAAAUCCCUCGGCUUAACCGGGGAACUGCGUCUGAUACUGGAUGGCUUGAGAUUGGGAGAGGGAUGCGGAAUUCCAGGUGUAGCGGUGAAAUGCGUAGAUAUCUGGAGGAACACCGGCGGCGAAGGCGGCGUUCUGGACUGCAACUGACACUGAGGAACGAAAGCCAGGGGAGCAAACGGG